rnacentral:rRNA from 1 species
CCUACGGGAGGCAGCAGUAGGGAAUAUUGCUCAAUGGGGGAAACCCUGAAGCAGCAACGCCGCGUGGAGGAUGAAGGUUUUCGGAUUUUUAACUCCUUUUUUUAGAGAAGAUAAUGACGGUAUCUAACGAGUAAGCACCGGCUAACUCCGUGCCAGCAGCCGCGGUAAUACGGGGGGUGCAAGCGUUACUCGGAAUCACUGGGCGUAAAGAGCGCGUAGGCGGGAUAGCAAGGCAGAUGUGAAAUCCUAUGGCUUAACCAUAGAACUGCAUUUGAAACUGUUGUUCUAGAGUAUGGGAGAGGUAGGUGGAAUGCUUGGUGUAGGGGUAAAAUGCGUAGAGAUCAAGAGGAAUACUCAUUGCGAAGGCGACCUGCUAGAGCAUAACUGACGCUGAUGCGCGAAAGCGUGGGGAUCAAACAGGAUUAGAUACCCCAGUAGUC